rnacentral:misc_RNA from 1 species
AAAGCCCAUUUGGCUCCUUAAAUAUUUAUCCUAUCCUUUCCUUUUUUCGUUAGCAGUUCACAAUUCGUUAUCUUUCUCGUUCACUCUACUCUUUCUUUCACAAAUGGAUCUGAGCGGAAAUGUUUUUCUCUUAUCACAAGUCUUGUGAUAUGUGAUAUAUAAUACAUAAUACACGUACAAAUGAACAUCUUUGAGCAAAGAAUCUCCAUUUGAAUGAUUCAUGUCCAUAUCAUUAUUCGUACUGAAACUUUCAAAGUUUUUUUUUGAAACUCCAAAAAAUUCCAGGGAUUGGAUAAAACUUUGUAAUACCCUUUCGUUCUUUUAAUUGACAUAGACCCAAGUCAUCUAGUAAAAUGAGGAUGAUGCGUCGGGAAUG